rnacentral:rRNA from 1 species
CUACGGGGGGCUGCAGUGAGGAAUAUUGCACAAUGGGGGGAACCCUGAUGCAGCAACGCCGCGUGGAGGAUGACGCAUUUCGGUGUGUAAACUCCUUUUAUAUGUCAAGAAAAUGACGGUAGCAUAUGAAUAAGCACCGGCUAACUCCGUGCCAGCAGCUGCGGUAAUACGGAGGGUGCAAGCGUUACUCGGAAUCACUGGGCGUAAAGGACGCGUAGGCGGGUCGGAAAGUCAGGUGUGAAAUCCUACAGCUUAACUGUAGAACUGCACUUGAAACUUCUAAUCUAGAGUAUGGGAGGGGGAGAUGGAAUUAGUGGUGUAGGGGUAAAAUCCGUAGAUAUCACUAGGAAUACCUAAAGCGAAGGCGAUCUCCUGGAACAUUACUGACGCUAAGGCGUGAAAGCGUGGGGAGCAAACAGGAUUAGAUACCCCCGUAGUC